CGGAUUGCAGCCUGCAACUCGGCUGCAUGAAGCUGGAAUCGCUAGUAAUCGCGGAUCAGAAUGCCGCGGUGAAUACGUUCCCGGGUCUUGUACACACCGCCCGUCACACCAUGGGAGCCGGGAAUGCCCGAAGUCAGUGGCCCAACCGCAGGGAGGGAGCUGCCGAAGGCAGGCCCGGUGACUGGGGUGAAGUCGUAACAAGGUACC
rnacentral:rRNA from 1 species